rnacentral:rRNA from 3 species
GGUGAACAGCGGAGGGAUCAUUA